GACGAACGCUGGCGGCGUGCUUAACACAUGCAAGUCGAACGGAAAGGCCCUGCUUUUGUGGGGUGCUCGAGUGGCGAACGGGUGAGUAACACGUGAGUAACCUGCCCUUGACUUUGGGAUAACUUCAGGAAACUGGGGCUAAUACCGGAUAGGAGCUCCUGCUGCAUGGUGGGGGUUGGAAAGUUUCGGCGGUUGGGGAUGGACUCGCGGGUUAUCAGCUUGUUGGUGGGGUAGUGGCUUACCAAGGCUUUGACGGGUAGCCGGCAUGAGGGGGUGACCGGCCACAUUGGGACUGAGAUACGGCCAAGACUCCUCCGGGAGGCAGCAGUGGGGAAUAUUGCACAAUGGGCGAAAGCCUGAUGCAGCAACGCCGCGUGCGGGAUGACGGCCUUCGGGUUGUAAACCGCUUUCGCCUGUGACGAAGCGUGAGUGACGGUAAUGGGUAAAGAAGCACCGGCUAAAUACGUG
rnacentral:rRNA from 1 species